AUUGAACGCUGGCGGCAGGCCUAACACAUGCAAGUCGAACGAGUGGCGGACGGGCGAGUAAUGUCUGGGAAACUGCCUGAUGGAGGGGGAUAACUACUGGAAACGGUAGCUAAUACCGCAUACCAUCGGAUGUGCCCAGAUGGGAUUUGCUAGGGGGUGGGGUAAAGGCUCACCUAGGCGACGAGCCCUAGCUUGUCUGAGAGGAUGACCAGGCACACUGGAACUGAGACACGGUCCAGACUCCUACGGGAGGCAGCAGUGGAGAAUGUUGCACAAUGGGCGCAAUCCUUAUGCAGCCAUGCCGCGUGUAUGAAGAAGGCCUUCGGGUUGUAAAGUACUUUCAGCGGUGAGGCGUUACCCGCAGAAGAAGCACCGGCUAACUCCGUGCCAGCAGCCGCGGUAAUAC
rnacentral:rRNA from 1 species